AAAAGUCAACGAACUCAUGGUCAUGAAGGUGAAUAGAAAUCCCAACCUGGUCAACUGUUUAGACAGCUACCUUGUGGGUGAGGAACUGUCCCUGGUUAUGGAGUACAUGGAUGGAGGCACUCUGAGCAAUGUCAUCAGCCAGACCUACCUGUCGGAAGAUGAGAUGGCAGCCAUCAGUCGGGAGUGCCUGCAAG